UGUUAGCAAAUCCCACCCCUCUUGGCUG
rnacentral:sRNA from 1 species